rnacentral:pre_miRNA from 10 species
GGCGCGUCGCCCCCCUCAGUCCACCAGAGCCCGGAUACCUCAGAAAUUCGGAUUCUGGGUUCUGUGGGGAGCGAAAUGCAA